UCAUCCGUUAGACCCCCUGGCAAAAAUAAUGAGGAUAAGGCUGAUAACAAUGGUAGGGAGCUACUACUGUGCACCCUGCACUGUACUAAGCCAUUUAUUAUUCCAGGUAGAUUUCUCUGAUCUCUGUCCUGAAUUUUCAAAGCAUUUGCAGUCUGUAUUGUAUGUUACCUAAUCAUACCACUUCUCACUACCUGAAAUCAUGUCAGUCAUUUAGUUGUCUAUUUGUUUAUAUUGUCUCUCUUCAGUAAAAAUAUAAGCUCCAUAAACACAGAGACUUUUUCACUUACACAGCUAUUGCCACAGUUUCUGACAAAUGGCACACAUUAAGGACUUAUUUGUUGGAUAAAUGAAUACAGCUUAGAAUCAUAUGGUUAAUUUCUAUUACUGUAUUUCAUGUAUAUUAGUCUUUUACCAGUAAUAGUAUGAACUUUUAAAAUUUGGUAUUAGAUGUUUUAAGUUUGUAUGGGAUAGUAUCCCCAAAUAAGCAAUGUUGUUCUUCAACAAAUAAUUGUGAAUUGGAGUACUGAGGACCUCAAAAGGUUGACUUUUUCUAUUUCCAGAAAGGUAGAUUUAAGGAUACAAAAUGUGGGAAAGGGUUAAAGUUAAACCCUUAAUUGUUUUUAUUUAUUUGCAUUCUAAUGCUCCAUUGAGCUGCUAAUUUGUUGAAUAUCUAUCCACAUGCUCAAGCACACAUAGUUUCAGAUUACUUUUGCAUACUGAUAAUGUAUUUUGUUGGUUAGUAACCUACAACCAAUCUACAAUCUACAAAGUGAAGAAAGAUCAAUCUGCACUUAAUUUCUAAGUUAAGGUAUAUUUAAAACAAACAUAAUUUUUUACUUCUUGCUUAAAAAUAUCCUAAGAUUGUUAAUGACUGUUUAUGGCUUUGUGAACUUAACUAUAUCUUUUGUGUAUAACGAGGAAGAUGUUUAGUGUAAACAUUUUUGGAUAUGGCGUAAGUUAUUUAACCAGUCUACUAGUUGACAUUCAGAUCGUUAAUAGUAAUGUUGAUAUCUAAUACUGAUACACCUCUCUGUAUUACUAGGUACAGUUCUUAGAGCUUUAUAUACAUUAACUCAUUUAAUUGUCACAGCAACCCUAGGGGAUAAGUAAUAUUAUCUUUAUUUUACAGAUAAGGAAGCUGAGGCACAGACAAUUUAAGUGACUUGCCCAAGGUCACAGCUUGUUUUCUUAUAAGACUGAGAAAAUCACAAGGUACAUGUCAGCAAGUAACCAAGAUCCAGAUCCAGGUAGUACUACAGAUGAAGAUGUUACAGAUACUAAAGAAGAACUUAUUAAAAAAUGUGAAGAAAUGUGGAAAAAUAUGGAAGAAUGUCAGAAUAAAUUAUCACUUAUUGGAACUGAGACACUCACUGAUUCGAAUGCGCAGCUGUCAUUGUUAAUUAUGCAAGUGAAAUGUUUAACUGCUGAGCUCAGUCAAUGGCAGAAAGAAACUCCUGAAAUACUUCCACUGAAUGAAGAGGUCCUGGUAACAUUAGGAAAAGAAGAAUUCCAGAAAUUGAGACAUGACCUUGAAUUGGUCCAAUCUACUAUUCAGUCAAAGAAUGAGAAGUUGAAGGAAGACUUGGAAAGGGAGCAACGAUGGUUGGAUGAGCAGCAGCAGAUCCUCGAGUCUCUUAUUGUUGUACACAGUGAACUGAAACAUCAGAUUGUGACAGUUUCUGAAUCAAGAAUCUUCAAUGAGCUGAAAACUAAACUACGUGGUAUAAAAGAAUAUAAGGAGAAACUAUUGGUUACCUUGAGUGAGUUUCUGGAAGAACACUUUCCUCUGCCUGAUAGAAAUGUUAAAAAGAAAAAGAGGUUUGAGGCAUUCUCAAAAGGAAGCAUUGAUUACAGAAGUCAUCAUCAUGUGUUCGUUCAGUCGUGUUUGAUAAGCUCCCUUUUCUUAAAUGAAGUAUGUGAACUAUUGAUUCAUGUCAAAAAAUGAUAGGUUACUUUCUCUGUCAAGCAAUGCUACUGGAUAUAAUACUAGAUGUAUUAGUCAGCUCAAGCUGCCGUAACAAAAUACUGCAGACUAGAGGGCUUAAACAAAAGAAAUUUGUUUUCUCACAGUUCUGAAGGCUAGAAGUCCAAGAACAGGGUACCCUCAGAGUUGGUUUCUGCUGAGGCCUUUCUUCCUGGCUGUGGACAGCAGCUGCCUUCUAGCUGCGUCCUCACUUGGCCUUUCUCUAUGUGAGUGUAGAGAAAAAGAGCUCUCUGGUGUCUGUCCCUCUUAUUGUAAGGACUCCAGUCCACUUGGAUUAGGGCCCCACUGUUAUGACCGCAUUCAACUUUAAUCACCUCUUUAAAGGCUCUAUCUUCAAAUGUAGUCACAUUGGUUAGGACUUCAGUUUUGGAGGGCACAAUUCAAUUCGUAACACCGUACUUUAUAAUUCAAAGAUGUAUACAAAGAAGAAAGAAGCAACCAGAAUCCCUCCAUCAGACCAUUAACAUUAGGUGAACAUCAUUUGAGACAUCUAAACCUAUACAUAUACAGAAACAUAAAUGGCGUGCUGGAUGGAUGAGUCAGCAUAAUUUUGUAUAUGCUAAUACAAUCCUAAACUUGAAUAGAAUUCUAGCAUCUACAAGUGUGGAAAUGAGUCUUCCCUUUUAUCUUUGGUGUUCGAAUCACACCUAUAUCAUUGUGGAGACUGGACUAAAAAAACAAAGACAAAUUAGACCACAUUUAAAAAACAACCAUAAUACUGAAGGGCUACAAGUCUAUGGCUUAUGAAAAAUGAUUGAAGGAACUAAUGAUGAUUAUUAUGGAGAAGACUUGAGGUUCAUAAUAGCUGCCUUCAGAUAUUUGAGGAACUCUUGCAUGGAAAUGGAAUAAGAUUUAUUCUGUUAUGUCAAGGUUAAAAGAACCAGUGAGUUGAGUUAACAUUAGGAACUAUAGAAAGAUGAACAAACAAGGCUCCCUGGGACGCAAGUUUCCUGUCCUGAAGCUGUAUAAGUACAGUCUGGAACGUCAUUUCUUUGGUUUAUUUUGAUUGGGAGGUUCAAACACUAAACUUUUAUAUAAGUAAAUAUAUAAUAUAUAUAAUAUCCAUUUUAUAUUUGUAGGUAGUCUGAAUUGUGUUUUCCAGUAAUUGCAAAAGAUUUCACUGUCUUAGAGGUUGUUUCAACUGUUUUGUUAUGAAACUGUUAGUGUAAGCAGGUUGUUUACUUUCAGAAUUCUUUUUAAAUCACCUAAUUAUAAGUGGUUUUAGUAUACCUUGUAUCAUUGCAUUUAAGAAAUAUUAACUUUUAAAAUUUUGUAAUAAAUACGGUUUAAUAUUCUGCCAUUGGCAGAAUCAAAAUGUUAAUUCUUUGUUAUUCAUGUUUCUCUCAAAGAAAAGUACUCAAGAAUCAACUACACAGCUGAUAACACUGCACGAAAUGUUAGAGAUUCUUUUAAAUAGAUUAUUUGGUGUUCCACAUGAUCCAUACGUC